rnacentral:rRNA from 1 species
UACGUAGGGCGCAAGCGUUAUCCGGAAUUAUUGGGCGUAAAGAGCUCGUAGGCGGUUCGGCAAGUCGGAUGUGAAAUCCCGAGGCUCAACCUCGGGUCUGCAGUCGAUACGGGCGGACUGGAGUUCGGCAGGGGAGACUGGAAUUCCUGGUGUAGCGGUGAAAUGCGCAGAUAUCAGGAGGAACACCGGUGGCGAAGGCGGGUCUCUGGGCCGAUACUGACGCUGAGGAGCGAAAGCGUGGGGAGCGAACAGG